rnacentral:rRNA from 1 species
AGAAUCAACGCUGGCGGCGUGCCUAACACAUGCAAGUCGAACGAGAAAGUGGAGCAAUCCAUGAGUAAAGUGGCGCACGGGUGAGUAACACGUGACUAACCUACCCUUGAGUGGGGGAUAACCUAGAGAAAUCUGGGCUAAUACCGCAUAAUACCUUCGGGUCAAAGGAGCAAUUCGGCUUAAGGAGGGGGUCGCGGCCGAUUAGUUAGUUGGCGGGUAAUGGCCCACCAAGACUGUGAUCGGUA